rnacentral:misc_RNA from 1 species
CUUGAAUGUUAGAACGAAUUAAAAGGUAUCAGGAAUGGCGUUAGGUAAUACAGAGGUGAAGUUAGUAUCGAUAUUAGCUGAUAUUGGCAUGGUGAUUAUGUAAACCGGCAGAAUGUGACUACCUAUUGAGAAAUCUAUGUGUAAGCGUUACCUUAGGAGCAAUGGUGUGUCGACGUAGUAGCGAACGCGAAAGUAGAGGACGAAAGCUGGUCUCCCGCUGCUGUACUUACGUAUGUAUGAGAGCUACGCCAGUUUUUCGGUGCGUAUUUGCUUAAUUUAUUC